ACCGAACUUUGCUGCGGGGGACGCGCUGGGCGGCGACGCGUGUGCGCGGGGCGCGCGGGCUGCGGAGCUGACCGCGCACCUCUGGGCGGUCUCCCCGGAGGCGGCGGCCACCCCCCCAACACCCGCCCGCCCCGUCAGUGGCGGCCGCACGACCGCGCGCACCAGCGAAUAAUCGCCGCCCGUGACAUCUCCGCUGACACCUCGCGGCCCGGAGGCGGGGUCGGGGAGGGGGAGGCCACUGCCUGGCACUGCAGUGGGCCUCGUGGACUUUGGGUCCUGGCACUGCCCCCACCUCCUCGCCGCCGGCGCCCCUUCCUGGUCAGACUCCCUCCGGGCCCUCCCCACCACGGGGGGCGCAGGGCCACCCUGCAGGCGGGUCAGGUCGGACGCACGCCCCUUCACGAGCCGGGGCUCCCCAGGCUCCUGAAGGGCGCAGUGCCCCUGCCCCACCGCUUUUAUGCCCCUCUAGCCAGCCCCGAGUGGCCCCCCAUCCCCGCGCGUCCGGCGCGCUCGCCGCCGCCGGGGAACUUUGGCGCGCACGCCCCCACCCGGGCGGCGCCUCCGACUCACCUGCCCCUCGGGCCGCUCCGCGUGCCCGGGCUGCCGCCCUCCGGACGCCCCCGACCCCACCACGGGUACGUCCUGGGGGCGCCCCCACCCCCUUUCUCGGGGAAGUGUCCUUUAGCUCUACAGGGGUUUGGGGGCCGGCGUGGACGACCCCCCGGCCCCCAAGUCCUCCUAGCUAGGGGCUGCCCGGCGGGUGGGGGUCGGGGGUCGGGGGUGGCCGGGGGCGGAGGGGUGAGGCUCGGGACUCUCUCGCCCUCACCCCGCUCGCCUGCUUUAUUUUAUGAUCAUCGUGAGCGUGCUGUCGCCGCUCAGCCCCGCCGCCGCGCCGCAGCCGCCUGGCGCGCCCCGCGCUGCCUCGCUCUGCUGCAGCAUCGGAAAGGCAACCAGGUCAAACUUUGCAGAAACUCAGCCCCUGCGCCGGCCUGGCCCCUAGUCCGCCCGCAGCCGCCGGCCGGGAGCGCAGCGCACGCAGGGACCGCCGCCCGCUCGCCGGCCCCGCGGGGGUGCAGGUCCGCAGGGGGCGGCGGGCGGGCGGGCGAGCGGGCGCCGCCUCCUCCUCGCCGCCCGCCCCGCUCUCCACCCUCGCUCCCCGCACAGAGCCCUCCUCCCCACUGGUGA
ensembl:lncRNA